UCAACCGAGUUGGCCCAAAAAAAUAAAAACGAAUUAAGGCCCAAAGGAGAUGGGGUGGCCGGCCAACAAUGGCCCAAGCCCAUGGAAUUUUAAUUAAUUCCCAUGUGAUAAUUAGCAUAUAAAGCCUAGAAGAUUCAAGAAAAUAACACAAGUUGGAAAACAAGAACAAAACAAAGAAACAAGAGCAAAAGAACUAAAGGCCAUACGGCCAUGGAGAAAAAAAAUUGACCCUUUGAAAUCUUAUCCCAAAAAUUAUUUUCUUGUGGUAUUUCUACUAAUUCAAGGGUCCUUUACAACUUGGUGUAAUUAUUUUGGAAGAAAGAGCACUUGUUUCUUCAAGUUGACAACUUGGUCAAGUGAAGAAGAUUGUAGAAAAAGAUUUUGGCGAACUUGAAACUUGAUUUUGGAGACGUGUAUGAAGCGGAAAAGGUCAGCAGACAGGCGGGUUUGAUUCUUAGGAGUUCUACCAGCGGCAUUUGACAGCGCUCCAGUUGUUCCGGAGCCCCAGUUCCUUGGUACUAUUUUGUGUAUAUACUCGGGCACGACAGUACUCGGCCCCUUUCUAUGUAUAUGUGUACUAUGUCUAGAGGCUCGUAGACAGAUAUGUACAGUUAGAUGUGUUGUAUUUUGGAAUGUUCACGUCGCCGUAUAACGUGAUAGCAAAGUUUACUAGUCUAUGUUUACGAUGAUGCUACUAAUGUUAAUGUUCAGUAACGAAAAAAAUAUAUAUGGCACAGUUCCUACGGCCCGCUGAGAAGUAAAGGU